rnacentral:rRNA from 1 species
ACCUUCAACCAACUUGUUGAUAACACCAGUUCCCAAUGGAACACUGAAAUUAAGCAACGUUUUGCGUGGUUAGUACGAGUAUCCGAAUGGGUGACCAUCUGGGCCAUUCUGCGCAAUCGCGUGCUGCAGGCU